CAGAUUAAACACGAAGCACUGUAGUGUGUAGAGUUUCACCAUCAAAUAAGACAGAAAAAAAUGGUCACUUUCAGCACAGUAGCUCAGUGAUAGAAGUGCUUAUAUAUUACCAACAACCACGACCCAAAACGUGAUUCACCACUUACACCGGUGGUUGAGAAAAUGGUGUUGUGUUUUCCCUCAACACCCAAGAAACUUGCCAUGACCAUAACUUGCUUCCUCUCUGGUGCUGCAAUUUUUGCUGCUGCGGCGCACCUUUCUUAUGUCAAUGUUGCACCCCAACAAGCUCGAAUCAAAGCUCGCUCUGAAUUUGUCAUGGAGACGUUGAAAAAGAAGUAUGGUUAUACUUCCCCGUAUGAGAAAUUGGCUCGCAGUGAUUCUCAUGAUAGGAGAACAGAGGUAUCUACGAGAGACCAUUAUGCUCAGGCUCGGAAUGGUCAAAAAGACAUUUAGUAACCUUGGAUUUAAAAAAUAGCAGAAGAGAUGUUCAGAAAGCUUUGGUUUUCAUACUUGCUCCUUUGAUCCCCUUUAUUUAAUUCCUAAAUCAGUGAAGAAUAAAAAUUGCUGUUAAUGCUAUCAGCCGUCCCAUCUUCAAUAUUUAUAGCAAUACGUGAGUUUCAAUAUGUUUGUAGUUGCACUUUGGUAUGAAGUUUCUAAUUUCUGCUUCCAAUAUUGUUAGUUUUUCUGUGAUCCUUGUCAAAUUCUGAGCAGAUAUUCAAAGAGUAUCAAGAUAAUACAGAGUGUCUUUUAAAUU